AUCUGUCAGGUUUAUGAAACUUUUGAGUAUUUUUCU
rnacentral:tRNA from 1 species